rnacentral:rRNA from 1 species
AGUGAACGCUGGCGGUAGGCCUAACACAUGCAAGUCGAACGGCAGCACAGUACUAGCUUGCUCUUACGGGUGGCGAGUGGCGGACGGGUGCGGAAUACCUCGGAAUCUACUUUUUCUUGGGGGAUAACGUAGGGAAACUUACCCUAAUACCGCAUACGACCUACGGGUGAAAGCAUGGGAUCUUCGGACCUUGCGCGAUUGUAUGAGCCGAUGUCUGAUUAGCUAGUUGGCGGGGUAAAGGCCCACCAAGGCGACGAUCCGUAGCUGGUCUGAGAGGAUGAUCAGCCACACUGGAACUGAGACACGGUCCAGACUCCUACGGGAGGCAGCAGUGGGGAAUAUUGGACAAUGGGCGCAAGCCUGAUCCAGCCAUACCGCGUGGGUGAAGAAGGCCUUCGGGUUGUAAAGCCCUUUUGGUGGGAAAGAAAAGCAGCAGGUUAAUACCCCGCUGUUCUGACGGUACCCAAAGAAUAAGCACCGGCUAACUUCGUG